rnacentral:sRNA from 1 species
GCAGGGCAUGGUGGUGCAUGCCUGUAAUUCCAGUAACUCAAGAAGCUGAGGCAGGAGGAUCAUAAGUUCAAAAUCAGCCUCAGCAACUUAGUGAGACUUUGUCUCAA